rnacentral:rRNA from 1 species
AGGAUGAACGCUGGCGGCGUGCUUAACACAUGCAAGUCGAACGAUGAAGCGGAGCUUGCUCUGUGGAUUAGUGGCGAACGGGUGAGUAACACGUGAGUAACCUGCCCUUGACUCUGGGAUAAGCACUGGAAACGGUGUCUAAUACCGGAUACGAGCUUCAGCCGCAUGGCUAGGAGUUGGAAAGAAUUUCGGUCAAGGAUGGACUCGCGGCCUAUCAGGUAGUUGGUGAGGUAAUGGCCCACCAAGCCUACGACGGGUAGCCGGCCUGAGAGGGUGACCGGCCACACUGGGACUGAGACACGGCCCAGACUCCUACGGGAGGCAGCAGUGGGGAAUAUUGCACAAUGGGCGAAAGCCUGAUGCAGCGACGCCGCGUGAGGGAUGACGGCCUUCGGGUUGUAAACCUCUUUCAGCAGGGACGAAGCGAAAGUGACGGUACCUGCAGAAGAAGCACCGGCCAACUACGCGCCAGCAGCCGCGGUAA